GGACUACCCGGGUUUCUAAUCCCGUUUGCUCCCCUGGCUUUCGCGCCUCAGCGUCAGAAGAGAUCCAGCAGAUCGCUUUCGCCACCGGCGUUCCUUCCGAUAUCUACGCAUUUCACCGCUCCACCGGAAGUUCCAUCUGCCCCUACCUCCCUCAAGCCUGCCAGUAUCAGAAGCUGUUUUCCGGUUGAGCCGAAAGAUUUCACCCCUGACUUGGCAAGCCGCCUACGCGCCCUUUAAGCCCAGUGAAUCCGAACAACGUUUGCACGGUUCGUCUUACCGCGGCUGCUGGCAC
rnacentral:rRNA from 2 species